UUUCCGUAGGUGAACCUGCGGAAGGAUCAUUAAUGAGUUGUCAUGGGGUUCGAUGCUGGCAGCCAAUUUUUGGAUGCAUGUGCUUGCCCUAACAAUCAUCUUCCAAACACCUGUGCACAUUUUUGAGGGAGUCUUGAGUUGGUUGCCGCUCUUGGGUGAUUUUAUCACAUUCCCUUAAAUCAUUAUACGCUAUUAACAAUGUUGAACGUGCUCUGUGCCGCAAGGCUAUCAAUAUAAUACAACUUUUAACAACGGAUCUCUUGGCUCUC
rnacentral:misc_RNA from 1 species